GGUCCCCCUCUGAGACGCCAGGAGCUGCCCUCUGGGUCUGCCCAUCCCGUGGUUCUUUUAACCCCACCCCCCUUUUCCCCUCCCUGCCAGGAGCCCUACUGGGUUCGUUUUACCCGCCCCACCCCUCUCAGAACCGCUGAGAAGAGAACCUGACUGUUCUCUUGACCUCCAAGUGGCUCAUCUGACUGAAACCCUAGCAGGUGCCCUAUAGGCACAGAGGAAGAAGCUGAACUGGACAAGUGUCCAUGGCACAGGCUCUACAUCUCUUUGUCCAUCCCUUUUACCCCUGAGAAAACCCAUUUGUUUGUAUCUUCCUAUCCCCAGCUCUUUCUAUAUCUUUUUUUUUAUUAUGUUCAUAAUAUUGAAGAACGGGUGUCAUCUCAUAGGCCUCCAGGGAGGAGGAUCCUAAUGCCUCCUAAGAUUUAUUGGAUAGUACUUUGAUAGAGCCAAAACAACGAACAUUAGAAGAGGACCACACACCAUUUUCCCCUGCUGCCUAAAUGCCAGGAGAAAACUCAAUUCCUAAAGUAUCUUUCAACUUAUUCUAAGAAAUACCUAGCCUCACAGGUCAUACCAGACAGUCUAGGAGAGUCUGCUAUCAUCUCUACCUUGGAAAACUUUACUGAAGAAUUGAAGAAAACGUUUGAGGCUGUCUCAGCCAACUAACCCAUCACUUUCUGGCUAAUCUAGUGCUGAGCUUCACUACACCAAGUCUAGGAACGAGGAAAAAGACGUUUGUUUCCAAAAUGCUAUGAAAGCAUUUGAGAAGUUAACCAUGCUUUUAAACCAGAUAUAUCAAUGCAGUCUAAACCAGCUGAGGAAAAGAUGAAUGAAGACGGCUUGCUCACUCUUUUGUCCUUGACUAAAUAAAUGAUGCACUGACAUUGCA